rnacentral:rRNA from 1 species
UGGGGAAUAUUGGACAAUGGGCGAAAGCCUGAUCCAGCAAUGCCGUGUGUGUGAAGAAGGCCUUCGGGUUGUAAAGCACUUUUAGUGGGGAAGAAAAGUUUAAGAGGAAUAUUCUUAAACCUUGACGUUACCCACAGAAAAAGCACUGGCUAACUCUGUGCCAGCAGCCGCGGUAAUACAGAGAGUGCAAGCGUUAAUCGGAAUUACUGGGCGUAAAGCGCACGUAGGUGGAUGUUUAAGUCGGAUGUGAAAGCCCUGAGCUUAACUUAGGAAUUGCAUUCGAUACUGGGCGUCUAGAGUAUGGUAGAGGGAAGUGGAAUUUCCGGUGUAGCGGUGAAAUGCGUAGAUAUCGGAAGGAACAUCAGUGGCGAAAGCGGCUUCCUGGACCAAUACUGACACUUAGGUGCGAAAGCGUGGGGAGCAAACAGG